GACGAACGCUGGCGGCGUGCCUAAUACAUGCAAGUCGGGCGAAUCUUUUGGGAGCUUGCUCCCGAAAGAUUAGCGGCGGACGGGUGAGUAACACGUGGGCAACCUGCCUAUAAGACUGGGAUAACUUCGGGAAACCGGAGCUAAUACCGGAUACGUUCUUUUCUCGCAUGAGAGAAGAUGGAAAGACGGUCUCGGCUGUCACUUAUAGAUGGGCCCGCGGCGCAUUAGCUAGUUGGUGGGGUAAUGGCUCACCAAGGCGACGAUGCGUAGCCGACAUGGGAGGGUGAUCGGCCACACUGGGACUGGGACACGGCCCAGACUCCUACGGGAGGCAGCAGUAGGGAAUCUUCCGCAAUGGACGAAAGUCUGACGGAGCAACGCCGCGUGAACGAAGAAGGCCUUCGGGUCGUAAAGUUCUGUUGUUAGGGAAGAACAAGUACCAGAGUAACUGCUGGUACCUUGACGGUACCUAACCAGAAAGCCACGGCUAACUACGUGCCAGCCGCCGCAGUAACAC
rnacentral:rRNA from 1 species